rnacentral:lncRNA from 1 species
GGAAAAACAACAACAACAUUUAACGUUGUUUAUUUCUUUUGGAAUGUUUACCUUCGUCUUGUUUUGGAUUAGAGGUGGAAUAUCAGAAAACAAGUUUAUAUAAAUCGGUAUGGAAUUAAUUUAUAAAUUGAAAAUUAUGUGCGAUCCGGUCUUUGGCUUGCUUGUUAUUCUGUUUUGAAAUAAAAUAAUACCGGUCUUUUAAAGAAGUUUAAAUUCGUUAACAUUCUGAAAGCGCGAGUUAUGCUGAAGAGAUUAAUAUGAUAUUUCCGUAUAUGAUGCAAAUGAUAAUCCAGGAAAUGUAUUUAUGUGAAAUACCACAGUAUGACAGGUUUCUGAACAUAACCAGGCGAGAAAUGAUGCCUUUCCAUAGUUCAAAACUUUGUGUGAUUUUUCGCUUGCGUAACGCAUGACCGCCUUCAAAAAUUCCUGCAUUCUUGGUCAUUCAGUAGGACCCCAAAACUUGCAGAAAUGAUUUUCUAUCCUUCCUGUAUAAUGUUCGAAGAAUAUGGUAGUUUUAAUGUUCUUUCGUCGCUGGCGAAAUAUUAUCGUGCGUCGAGUACGCGAUCAAAAUAAACUGCGGUACACGCCCCGACAUUUAACUGUUUUGCAGAGAGUUGACAGUUUACGACUAACCGAACGAUGAUGGAAGGACUCGAAACGAAGAUCGACACCCUCUGACCUACGAGGUAGCGCUACUUUCCCAACGUCAUAGCAAUCGCAGCAACGCCCGCGGCGAUUUUUCUCCGGUCAUUGAACUCAGGUGAGAAGCAAGUCCUGCGGGCUUUAAACAGUAGAGCCAAACUUAAAACGGCCUCUCUCUCUCUUGUUAAUCUCUUACAUAAGGGGACAGAAAGAAUAAUUGUUCGUUAGGAUGCCUUCAGAAAAUGACUGUAAAAGUGCUUAGAUACAUAUACGCACAUACCCGGAAGUAGUCAGGCUGAGAGGCCUUCUACUCCUCCCCCUCUCUGCAAUUCGGUUAAGAAGGAACCUCCGGGGAGGAGGAGAAGUGGCGAACCGGGGUCGCGACCUAAACUUCUCAAUUUACUCGUCUUCGAAAAUAAGUGCCCAACCGAGAAGUGGGGGCGCGGUUAAAACGGAAAAACCAGGUUGGCGUCAGAAAAUAUCGCAAAAAUGGUUGUUUCGACUGUUGUCCCGAGCGGCUACGAAACCUAAGCUGGCGGUCGUGAGAGUUCAAUGACCUCCGAGUGAACGGCUCGUCCUCCAGCCUAGACGAAGGCUAUGGACUACGAUCUGUUCAGGAAACUCGACAAAUUUCGUCAUCUUAAAUAUCACGUGAUUAACACCCCACCUCUGUACAAAACAUACCCCAUUUCGUUUCCUUUUAAGGUGUUCGAAAUACCCUCCGAGUUCGGACCGAAUCGGCCGAUUUUAGCAUCUCUGACACGAAAAUUGGGCCCCAGCCGAAUAUUGGGAGAAAAAGACGACACUGCACGCCACCCGUCCUCUUAAUAGACAAGUUGGAACGUAGACAGGUGCAGGUCAAUGAUGCGUGUGCCAGAAUUUCAAAAUUGGUCAUAUGGGGCCAAAAACGAGCACAUGUCUAAAUGCCAACUUAACUGACAUAACUAGUAGGUAAAAUGACAACAAUAUGGAAACAAUUCAGCAUUACACAACAAACUUUUCAUUCAUCUACUGUACUACGGAGCAAGGUCAUUGACAUCUGAAACACAACUUACCAACCACGCAGAUUUAUCUCCAUUUCAAAUCAUAAUCGAAUGCUGGUCCCUAUGUCAACUGCCAUAAAAUCUUCAGGACACCUAUCCCAAAUAUUUCUUGGGGUUCGAACACUUAUCCAACUCAGUUUGUAUACCAAUACGUUCCUAUUGCCACAUGGAUUGGAAAUUUUCGCAGCAACUUGUCAGGAGGCGGAGUCUGCUGACGUCAGCAACGUCACUGUUACGUCACGGUUCCAAUCCCGGAUGUCAUUCACCCUGUUUAUUCGGUUGACUUUUUAUUUUAUGAGAAAUUUAGAUUAAUUUUGCCUAAAUUGAACGUUCCGUCGUCAUUUUCGAAUAACUGGCCAUUUUUUUUUGCUCUUUUAUUUAUAUUAAAAUUAUUUUCUUCUUCCCCCAUUUUUUUUUAUUAUUAAUUCGGAGAGAAGAUUCGUUAUUAACGCUAUACCGUUACGGGUUGCGCCAUUCCUCACGAACUUUUAAGAGAUUUAUCGACUCACGGGGUUUAAAAAAAAAAAAUAAUAAUAAUAAUAAUUUUAUCUCCUCAAAUCUACAUUAUCGGAGAGCGCGUUGAUAAAGAUUGAGCGUUUUAGAAGAUUGUGUACUCUGUUGACGGUGACGUCAGCUGUAAACAAAUAAUCCACGAGCUUUACAACCUUGGCCAAUUUAUUAAAUGCUAAUCGAGUUCUUCCGAGUAGAUUAUACGCGAUAUAUAUUCGCGCAGUUGUGACUUCGUUUGUAUACGAUGCGCGCACAGUAAAUACAAAAAAAAAAUGCAAAAAAUUUUAACGCGAUUUUAUAAAAACUCAAAUGAACACGAUCGUGGCACCAAUUUUUAACCAAUCCGAUUUUUAAAAUUAGAUAAUGGAAGUAAAAAAUG